rnacentral:rRNA from 1 species
AUUGAACGCUGGCGGAAUGCUUUACACAUGCAAGUCGAACGGCAGCACGGACUUCGGUCUGGUGGCGAGUGGCGAACGGGUGAGUAAUGUAUCGGAACGUAUCCAAUAAUGGGGGAUAACUAGUCGAAAGAUUAGCUAAUACCGCAUACGCCCUACGGGGGAAAGCUAGGGACCUUCGGGCCUGGCGUUAAUGGAGCGGCCGAUAUCUGAUUAGCUAGUUGGUGAGGUAAAAGCUCACCAAGGCGACGAUCAGUAGCUGGUCUGAGAGGACGACCAGCCACACUGGAACUGAGACACGGUCCAGACUCCUACGGGAGGCAGCAGUGGGGAAUUUUGGACAAUGGGCGAAAGCCUGAUCCAGCCAUUCCGCGUGAGUGAAGAAGGCCUUCGGGUUGUAAAGCUCUUUCGCAAGAGAAGAAAACUUACCCUCUAACAUAGGGUGAGGCUGACGGUAUCUUGAUAAGAAGCACCGGCUAACUACGUGCCAGCCGCCGCAGUAAUAC